UGCCUCCUGAGGGCUGGGCUAGCCCUCUUAUAUAGUCCUCUUAUUUUAUAUAUUUUUUAUGUUUCACUUCAUUCUGGAAUGCAUGCUAGAAAGAUUUUGUUUUAAGUGCAUGUGGUAGCUUGUAACAUUAUACCCCAGCUUUGAAGCCAAAGCCAAACACUUGCUUUUAACCUUCAUUGUACUCCUUUCCCCUAGUUAUGAUGAUGAAGUUGAUAAAGUAAGCCAGUAUCAACGACGGAGCCUUGAAGACCUGGAAAAGAUAGAAAUAGGUCCCGAGCCUACUCUUUUUGGCAAACCAAAGUUCUCCUGCAUGC
rnacentral:lncRNA from 1 species